ACCUGUAAUUCUCCCUGAUAAAGCUGGCCCAUGAUCAGGUGUGACCGGGCUAAUUCGGGCCACUGCGGGGAUUGCUCAGCAGUUCUGGGGAGUUUCCCUUCUCUCGCCGGAUCUGAACAGGGAAUCGUGGUGGCCUAAUCACCAGUGAUGGGCAUCUGUUGGCCACAAGACGAAACAUCUUGAAUGACAUUAACCUUAAAAGCAGCAGAGAAGCUUCCCCUCCACCGGGCCGAGCACCGACCCAGGACCCUCGCUCCUCCACGCUCCUUGGAGGGCCCGAGAGCCGGCCACCCUGUCCAGUCUUUGGGACAAUGACCGCGUAGAGGCCUCAGUGAGCCUGCCUCCUUCUUCAAGCCAGCUCCACCCACAGGCACUUUCCUGGGGAAGACGGCGGCCACCGCGCCCUCGGGCCAGGUGCAGAGACGAAUCCUGCAUGGCAUCUACACGAGGUCCUGGAGUCCCGGCCAUAGCGAGCGCCACGUGUGAAUCCACCCGGAGACGUGACCCAGAGCAGGGGCAGCAGCAGCCCUAAGCCACCGCGGCUCCUGCAUAGCGGGCACCGGGCGCUCCGUUCAUUUCCGGCAAGGAUUUUGUCCUGCACUUACUGCGAUGGCCAAUAGGGGGUGCUGAUCAUCAGCUUUGCUGCUAUUCUGCUCUAUGUACUCGAACCAAUUACAAGAGCUCAAAUUCCAACUCAGUUAUUAAAAAUAAAUAAUU